UAAAUGAAAUAAAAGUUGAAUCAGGUUAUGGGAAAUGUGUUUUGUUCUUAUCAUAUUCAUCUUAGAAGUUUAAUAAAAAAAUAACUGUCCAGGUACCUCAAUAAGAGAAUAACAAUUUAAAAACUUAAGGUUGAAAAAAAAAAUUGUGAUUGUUUAACUCAAUAUGGUAUAAUCAACCUUUAAUAUGUGGUAGACAUGAAAAAAUUCUUGACUAAAUACACAAGACAAAAGGGGUGGGAGGGCUAAGGAUAAAGUAUAAGAUAAUAUUACAAAAACUAGGGACCAGGAUCACAAAUGUUUCAUGGAAUAAUAAUGUAACAUAUAUCACUAAUACCUUCCAUCUCUCCUGAAAUGGUUUCUCAUACUGCUUCCACAUUACUUUCUAUAUAAAUAGGAGACAGACAAAAGCAUAUCCAAGCUAGCUUAAAGACAAAUAUGAAGAAAUGUGAUCCCACCUACUUACACAUUCUUUCAUUUGCCUUUGCAGAUGUAAAGACUUCAUCCUGCUUAUUUCCUCCACUGUGCACAGCUAAGUCAUUUUUUGUCACGUAAUCCCAAGCAAGGAUUUUCCAGGACUCUUUCCCUUUCUCCAAUGAAGCAAACACAUCUGGCUGAUAAAUGCAAAGUCCUGCCAAAAAAAUAAGAACAAAGAAGAAAAACACAUGGUCUAGGCACUCCCAUUCCUCCUGAGAGAAAUCUACAGCCACAUCCCUGAGUAUUAUCAACUGCUGAAAGGACAAAUCCAACUAUUAAUGGUGAAAUUAAAAGAAAUCUUCAAGGGGAAAAGAUGGAAAAGAGCACUUCAAGGAGUGAGUCAUACACUAAGGAAAAAACCAGAGUUUGGCUGUCUGGGUUUGGAGAAAAUGACAUAAUAAGUGUGCCUAAAUUUGAGUGCCAACAUGCUGUUGAAAACUUCUGUUGCUCAGUCACCACAUCCUUAUGACCUU